AACGAACGCUGGCGGCAUGCCUAACACAUGCAAGUCGAACGAGACCUUCGGGUCUAGUGGCGCACGGGUGCGUAACGCGUGGGAACCUGCCCUUAGGUUCGGAAUAACUCCCCGAAAGGGGUGCUAAUACCGGAUAAUGUCUUCGGACCAAAGAUUUAUCGCCUUUGGAUGGGCCCGCGUUGGAUUAGCUAGUUGGUAGGGUAAAAGCCUACCAAGGCGACGAUCCAUAGCUGGUCUGAGAGGAUGAUCAGCCACACUGGGACUGAGACACGGCCCAGACUCCUACGGGAGGCAGCAGUGGGGAAUAUUGGACAAGGGGCGAAAGCAUGAUCCGGCAAUGCCGCGUGAGUGAUGAAGGCCUUAGGGUUGUAAAGCUCUUUUACCCGGGAUGAUAAUGACAGUACCGGGAGAAUAAGCUCCGGCUAACUCCGUG
rnacentral:rRNA from 1 species